UGGCCGGUAGCGCAGUGGUUGACGCGCCGCACUCCAAAUGCGGAGGACGCCGGUUCGAGUCCGGCCCGGCCAC
rnacentral:tRNA from 1 species